rnacentral:rRNA from 1 species
UACGUAGGGGGCUAGCGUUGUCCGGAAUCAUUGGGCGUAAAGCGCGCGUAGGCGGCCAGAUAAGUCCGGUGUGAAAGUCAAAGGCUCAACCUUUGAAUGCCGCUGGAAACUGUCUGGCUUGAGUCCGGAAGGGGCGAGUGGAAUUCCUGGUGUAGCGGUGAAAUGCGCAGAUAUCAGGAGGAACACCAAUGGCGAAGGCAGCUCGCUGGAACGGUACUGACGCUGAGGCGCGAAAAGCGUGGGGGAGCGAACAGG